UGGGGAAUAUUGGACAAUGGGCGAAAGCCUGAUCCAGCAAUGCCGCGUGAGUGAUGAAGGCCUUAGGGUUGUAAAGCUCUUUUACCAGGGAUGAUAAUGACAGUACCUGGAGAAUAAGCUCCGGCUAACUCCGUGCCAGCAGCCGCGGUAAUACGGAGGGAGCUAGCGUUGUUCGGAAUUACUGGGCGUAAAGCGCACGUAGGCGGCGAUCCAAGUCAGGGGUGAAAUCCCGGGGCUCAACCCCGGAACUGCCCUUGAAACUAGAUUGCUAGAAUCCUGGAGAGGUUAGUGGAAUUCCGAGUGUAGAGGUGAAAUUCGUAGAUAUUCGGAAGAACACCAGUGGCGAAGGCGACUAACUGGACAGGUAUUGACGCUGAGGUGCGAAAGCGUGGGGAGCAAA
rnacentral:rRNA from 1 species